GUACACUCCUGCGGGAGGCAGCAGUGGGGAAUAUCGCACAAUGGGCGCAAGCCUGAUGCAGCCAUGCCGCGUGUAUGAAGAAGGCCUUCGGGUUGUAAAGUACUUUCAGCGGGGAGGAAGGCGAUAAGGUUAAUAACCUUGUCGAUUGACGUUACCCGCAGAAGAAGCACCGGCUAACUCCGUGCCAGCAGCCGCGGUAAUACGGAGGGUGCAAGCGUUAAUCGGAAUUACUGGGCGUAAAGCGCACGCAGGCGGUCUGUCAAGUCGGAUGUGAAAUCCCCGGGCUCAACCUGGGAACUGCAUUCGAAACUGGCAGGCUAGAGUCUUAUAGAGGGGGGUAGAAUUCCAGGUGUAGCGGUGAAAUGCGUAGAGAUCUGGAGGAAUACCGGUGGCGAAGGCGGCCCCCUGGACAAAGACUGACGCUCAGGUGCGAAAGCGUGGGGAGCAAACAGGAUUAGAUACCCCGGUAGUCCCAUGA
rnacentral:rRNA from 1 species